GAGAAUGAGAGAGGUUUGCUCAGAAAAGGGGCGAGGCUCGAAACAAGACAAAGUGAGACUUGUGGAGGAAGUGUUGUUUGCUUCUGACCUGGUUCUUCCCUUCCACUCAAUUUGUUUUCACCUUAGCAUAAAAUAGGAGGAAUAAAGAUGGUUCAAUCAGAGUUAUGGUGGCUUUUUAUUUUUUUCAUUUUGGGGAAAAAGUGGCUU
rnacentral:lncRNA from 1 species